rnacentral:rRNA from 1 species
AAUGAACGCUGGCGGAAUGCUUUACACAUGCAAGUCGAACGGCAGCACGGACUUCGGUCUGGUGGCGAGUGGCGAACGGGUGAGUAAUGUAUCGGAACGUAUCCAAUAAUGGGGGAUAACUAGUCGAAAGAUUAGCUAAUACCGCAUACGCCCUACGGGGGAAAGCUAGGGACCUUCGGGCCUGGCGUUAAUGGAGCGGCCGAUACCUGAUUAGCUAGUUGGUGAGGUAAAAGCUCACCAAGGCGACGAUCAGUAGCUGGUCUGAGAGGACGACCAGCCACACUGGAACUGAGACACGGUCCAGACUCCUACGGGAGGCAGCAGUGGGGAAUUUUGGACAAUGGGCGAAAGCCUGAUCCAGCCAUUCCGCGUGAGUGAAGAAGGCCUUCGGGUUGUAAAGCUCUUUCGCAAGAGAAGAAAACUUACCCUCUAACAUAGGGUGAGGCUGACGGUAUCUUGAUAAGAAGCACCGGCUGACUACGUGCCAGCAGCCGCAGUAA